CGGGCGGGCGGGCGGCGCAGGAGGCGAGCGGCGGAACAUGUAAGGGCACAUCCCGCCAGCAGCCUCCCAGCGCGCAGAACGAGCCCAGGGGAGCGGGCGUGCGGGCGGAGAGGCGCGGGGCACCCGGCAGAGGCUCGGGCGGUCGGGCCGGUGCUCAGGGUCCCGAGCGGGCGGCGGGCGAGCGAGCAGCAUCCUCACCGCGCCUCCCGGGCGCCGCUGUCUGCAAGGCGCCCCCCCCGCCCGGGGCCGCGGGCUCGGCUGGACAGGGAGCGAGGGCAGCCAGCCAGGCCGGGGCACGAGAAGCCGGCGCUGAAAAGCCGGUGACCGCCGCGCCCGCCGCAGCCACCAGCGCUGCGGGAACCUCGGGGGGCGCCCAUGACGGCGGCGGCGGCGACCGUGCUGAAGGAGGGCGUGCUGGAGAAGCGCAGCGGCGGGCUGCUGCAGCUGUGGAAGCGGAAGCGCUGCGUGCUCACCGAGCGCGGGCUGCAGCUCUUCGAGGCCAAGGGCACCGGCGGCCGGCCCAAGGAGCUCAGCUUCGCCCGCAUCAAAGCCGUGGAGUGCGUGGAGAGCACCGGGCGCCACAUCUACUUCACGCUGGUGACCGAGGGCGGGGGUGAGAUCGACUUCCGCUGCCCCCUCGAAGACCCCGGCUGGAACGCUCAGAUCACCCUGGGCCUGGUCAAGUUCAAGAAUCAACAGGCCAUCCAGACUGUGCGGGCCCGGCAGAGUCUUGGGACUGGGACCCUCGUGUCCUAAACCACGAGGUAUACCAUUUUAUCGACAUGCCCCUCCCCUCCCCAGCUCCGUGCCCUGAGGACAUGUCAGUGGAAGCUUUUGUCCCUCAGGACCCGACUACACCUCGCCUAGAACCUCAUCCACCUCCCCUUCCUCCUUGUACCAGCGAGCAGAGUUCAGCUUCUCUGCCCACUCUGGUUGGUUGGGGCCUGACUACAUGUGAUGUGGCAGAAGCUAUUAGCAUGUGGAAGAAGCAUAUCAUCACGGAAGGAGCCCACCGGCCAGGGGCAGAGAGCCGAUGAGGGGCUGAGGAUGAAGAUUCAGGUCCUGGACACUGAGACUGUUAUACCCGGCGCAGGCCUUCCAGGCGCAGGCCUGGCCUCGUGUGUCAUGAUGGAGCAUGUGAGGCUUACCUGGCAUCGAGGCCCCUCCCACUGAUCCUGCCCUUGGUUCUGGGUUCUACAGACUGCUGUUUGGCCCCUGGCCUUGAGAUUAUGCCCGGAAGAGGGCAGUGCCUCAUGGAAUGCUAAGCCAGGACCUCGCCAGAACUCAGGAGGCUGGCCUGGGAUGCAGAAGAUGGCCACCCUACCUUAGGACAACCGCUGGACUUAGCUUGCAGAUGGGGAUCUGCUGGGCAUGAGGCCUGUGCCUGGGGGUCUCUUGCUGCUUUGGUCCUUUUGGGACCCCCCAGCCACCUCUCUCUUUGCACACUCUUCCCUCACCUCUGUUGCCCUCUCCUCACUGUGGUACUGGGCCUGGAGGUGGUGGGGGUGGGGUAAGGGUCUGGCCAUUACCAUUUCAUGCCUAUUCCAGAAUGAAGAUGCCCAUUCUGUGGGCAGUAACCACA